rnacentral:lncRNA from 10 species
AAAAAAGGGAGGGUCAUAUUCUUGUGAGGCUGUGAUCAGUGUCCACUGCUCUCCAGGUUGCAGUGAGUCUGGGGACCCAAGAUCUUAUUUUCCUUUCUGUCACCCCCGCUUGGUUUUGGAUUCCGUGACAGCUGGACCCGGCUUCUGCGUGGGAAGAGUGUAUCACAGCCAUUGGGAACUUUCUUCACCCAUCAAAGCCUCAGGGCUGAAGCAUCCUGAACAAGAACUCAGGAGAGUGAAAGAAACAGUUACCUGUCGGCUGCAGCUGGUACCAGCUCCCCACCCCGUACAGAGACCGAAGCGUCCUCUCUCUCCCCAUCACCCAGCACCAGACUCUGCCCCGCGACCUCAGCCUGCACCUGCUUCCUGGCUCCAUCCAGCCUUCCAGCCUCACUAGAUCAUCAUGGGCCACUGGCCAACACACAGGGCAGUGCCGAGCCCAGGCCGUGGUCACACAUGGCUGGGUUAGUAGCUGAAAACAUUGUUUUUCACUGGCCUCACAGUAAUGGCACCUGCCCCCAUUUUCUGUGAUUGAAUUUUUGGAUCCUGCUACCAGGUUAUGAUAGAUUUUAUGGUAUGUCUCAAGAUAUUGAGAUAAAGGUAAUAAAACAGCUAUAAAGUCCUGGCUCAAGAAGUGUUACAAACCCAAGCAGGGUAAAUACAAGAAAACUGCACCCAGACACAACAUAGUAAAAUUGCUGAAAACCAAAGAUGAAUAGAACACUUAACAGUUGGAGGAAAAAAGCCACAUUACCUUCAUAAGGACACCAAUCACACUAACAUCUGACUUCGAAAUAGAAAUAUAAAAGCCAAACUACAAGGGAAUGUGAUCUUCAAAAUAUUGAAAGAAUUUAAUUGUUAAGUGAAAUAAUUAACUGCCAACCUAAAUUCUAUUCCUAGUGGAAAUACUCUCCAAGAAUAAAGGUGAAAUAAAUACAGACUCACA